rnacentral:tRNA from 1 species
AAGGACUUAGCUUAAUUAGAAGAGUGCUUGGUUUCCGAAGCCAAGAAGCGUAAGUGCAAUUCUUACAGUCCUUGCCA